GCAUCUAUGGCUGAGUGGUUAAAGCACCCGACUCAUAAUCGGUGUUUACGUAGGUUCAAUUCCUACUAGAUGCA
rnacentral:tRNA from 2 species